GAUCCUGGCUCAGGAUGAACGCUGGCGGCGUGCUUAACACAUGCAAGUCGAACGAAGCACUUUUACAGAUUUCUUCGGAAUGAAGUUUUAGUGACUGAGUGGGCGGACGGGUGAGUAACGCGUGGGUAACCUGCCUCACACAGGGGGAUAACAGUUGGAAACGGCUGCUAAUACCGCAUAAGCGCACAGUACCGCAUGGUACAGUGUUAAACACCGUCGGUGUGUAGAUGGACCGGCCGU
rnacentral:rRNA from 1 species